rnacentral:rRNA from 1 species
ACGGAGGGUGCAAGCGUUGUUCGGAAUUACUGGGCGUAAAGCGCGCGUAGGCGGUUUUAUAAGUCAGAUGUGAAAGCCCUCGGCUCAACCGGGGACGUGCAUUUGAAACUGUGAGACUUGAGUAUUGGAGGGGGUGGUGGAAUUCCCGGUGUAGAGGUGAAAUUCGUAGAUAUCGGGAGGAAUACCAGUGGCGAAGGCGACCACCUGGCCAAAUACUGACGCUCAUGUGCGAAAGCGUGGGGAGCAAACAGGAUUAGAUACCCUGGUAGUCCACGCCGUAAACGAUGUCAACUAGGUGUUGGGACGGUUAAUCGUCUCAUUGCCGCAGCUAACGCAUUAAGUUGACCGCCUGGGGAGUACGGUCGCAAGAUUA